CGAGAAAGACAACAAUAAGAGAAGGCAUUCUGGGGGGAGGAGUUUCAAACUGAGUUGCGCGUAGCGGAACAGAAGUUGGAGAUUGAACUGGCAGCAAAAGGCGCGCACGCAAAAACUCCCUAAGUUAAAGACUACGCCUUUUGAGGGAAAUCAUCAGACUCGGUUCAAUUCGAGAAUUUGUUCGUCACGCAAGUUCACACUCGACCGAUCUCAGACGAAGAGGAAUUUGGCUGUUUGUUAGAGAUGUUCGUUCCGAAGGUAAGAGAACAAAUCUCCAACCUUAAGCCCGGGAUCCUGUGGGGUAUAAGACAGCAUGGGAAAGAUUGCAAGGAGAACACCCAUAUGGACGAAAUAGUAACUUUGACUCCAAUGAAAGGGAACAGUUACGUAAAAGUGUGAGAAUUCUAUGAACAGUUAAGCAAAAAGUUUGACGCUUUGCAUACCUUGGAAGAGGCUGACAUGUUAAAAGGAUUCGCAAUGACGAUGUUGAAGAAACUACCUCAAGUCAAACCCGACCUUGUGAGAGUUGACGAUAAAUGGUAGGAAUAGGGCAUGAAAGAAUUGAUUGAAAGUCAAAAGCAAAAAUGGCUCAAAAGAAACAAGACGGACGACGCCUCUCCCGCUGACAGGGGGAACACACGGACUAGAGAAAGGCACUGGUAUUCAAAAGGAAAGAGGGAGAACGUGCGUGAACCUAGAGCUCCUUCCUGUCUUUUCUGUCGAGGCGGGCACCGGGGGGAAUCCUGCAAUGUUUACAACACCUCAGAGAAAAGACGUAAUUUAUUUCACGAAAAUGGAUUGUGUUACAACUGCGGGCAUGAGGGUCAUGGGGCAAACCACGGCCGAAGUCGCCCAUGUUUCAAGUGCAAGUCGGGAUACCACACAAGCCUUUACGACAAACCAUCAGUAAAUGGACCGACUCAGGUUAAUUAAGGCCUGGGUCAAAAAUGAUUUUCGCCUCCAGUGCCCCCCAGCAAGGUUCGCGGAAUUCGCGUGGACUGCGCGAGUAACCAUAGUUACUUGGAAUCAAGAUCGCGUAGUUCGUGAACGGAAUCCGCCAUUUUGAAGUGUCGGCUUUGCAUUGGUUUUUCCCAUCUUCGCUGGUGAAUCCGACAAUCUAGAGGAAGACAUCAAAAGAAGGCUUUUGAAUGCUUUGGAAACAAUUUCUCCAAGAAGUAGAUGAAUUUACGGACAAACGUAAUCCCCCAAAGCAGUUGUUAGAAAACCAGCCAGCCCUUGCAGAUUCCAAAGGGAAUCUACUUGAUUAAAACCAGUUUUAUUUACUGUUAUCCCUAUUUGUUUUCUUGAAGAGGUCCUUCCAGUUAUUCCACACAACUAAUUUAUUACAAGCAUGUUAACGGUGUUAUUUAUGAGGCAUUUUUUUGGUUUUUAAAUCAUCAGUUUUAAUUAUAGUCAACAGUUUGGUUUUUAAGUUUUGACCGGUAAUAAUUGCAACAAUCAUUGUCAAUGAUGGACUUGUAAUUGAUAUACGUGUCUAUUUAAAUGUAAAUAUUCUACCCACUACACCAGUGGAGUAUCUUUUAAUUCAAAUGCAUCACAAAAGUUCUGAUACAUGCAUAUGAUUCUGACCAUAGCCUUCUCUCUUUGUUGAUAAGACAUGAUUAAUUACCAGUGCUUACUAUUGCCCCAAGUGGGGCACUGUUUUUUUUUUGUGAUAAGAGCAAACACAAACUGGUAUAAGAUGUGUCAUCUUCUCAGCCCUACUCAUAGAAGAUGUGCCAUCUUAAGAGCAGGAUAGGUUGCCCUUGUUACAAAGUC